UUUGGAUGAAGGGAGCUCUCCCCUUCCGCUGUCAGACUGAGUGUGAAAGGAGAGCGGCUGGAGAGAGUGGGGAAGCGCUGAAGGCGCGGCUGUCCAUGUGGGGCUGUGUCAUUGGUUUGGAGCAGACUCCGCCCGCGGAGCGCAGCUCGAUCGCAGGCAAAGCCGGACCAAGCGAGGCUUCUCCCCCCCGCCCCCCAGUCCUCUCUCUCUCUCGGUGUGUGUCUAACUCCAUCUGUUUGUUUCUGGAGGAGGAGGAAGCUGCUCUCCUCCUCCUUCCACCCACCCCCCCAUUCCCAUCCAGCGAUAGCAAGCCCGGACAGUGAAAGGCGUUCGCCCAGGGUUUCAGCAGGAAGCCGCUUGGAUCUCCCAGUCUCUGCAAGAAAGGAGCUGCUGCUGCUGCCCCGGGGAGGGGGGGAGCUGAGAGAGGAGAUCGGCUCCGGCACUCGGAUCUUUACAGGCUGUUAGUUGGAGGAUUAAGUUUUUUUUUUAACGUUUUAUUUGUUUUGUUGUGUGUGUUUUGGAUGUGGACCAGCUGUCUGCGGAGAGCCGACGGGAAACGUGUGCGGGGACAGCGAGUGAUGGAGAUGCGGAGAGUGGCGGCGGCGGCGCCCAGGGACGGGCGGCUCUAACUUGGCGGCGAUCAGAGACAGAGAGAGGAUUUGGAUUGGAGUUAUGCAUAUGAGCUACCGUGGAUUCACCUGAAUUGUGACCACCUCAAACCCUCAUUGCUUGUUAUAUUGGGACGAAUUCAUUAAAUAGCAUUGCUCAUGUCUCUGAUGGACAAGCACAAAGUGAAGCGACAGCGAUUGGAUCGAAUUUGUGAAGUGAGUGGAAGAAAAGAUUAGGUGGAGCGCAGAACGGUGGUGGGGCAUAUAAUGGAUGGAAUGUAUAACAGGACAG